rnacentral:rRNA from 1 species
UACGAAGGGGGCUAGCGUUGUUCGGAAUUACUGGGCGUAAAGCGCGCGCAGGCGGUCCUUUAAGUCAGGGGUGAAUGCCCAGAGCUCAACUCUGGAACUGCCUUUGAAACUAGAGGACUUGGGUACGGGAGAGGUGAGUGGAAUUCCGAGUGUAGAGGUGAAAUUCGUAGAUAUUCGGAAGAACACCAGUGGCGAAGGCGGCUCACUGGCCCGUUACCGACGCUCAGGCGCGACAGCGUGGGGAGCAAACAGG